CGGUUAAGUUAGAAAGGGCGCACGGUGGAUGCCUUGGCACUAGGAGCCGAUGAAGGACGGGACGAACACCGAUAUGCUUCGGGGAGCUGUAAGCAAGCUUUGAUCCGGAGAUUUCCGAAUGGGGAAACCCACCACUCGUAAUGGAGUGGUAUCCAUAUCUGAAUACAUAGGAUAUGAGAAGGCAGACCCGGGGAACUGAAACAUCUAAGUACCCGGAGGAAGAGAAAGCAAAUGCGAUUCCCUGAGUAGCGGCGAGCGAAACGGGAUCAGCCCAAACCAAGAGGCUUGCCUCUUGGGGUUGUAGGACACUCUGUACGGAGUUACAAAGGAACGAGGUAGAUGAAGAGGUCUGGAAAGGCCCGCCAUAGGAGGUAACAGCCCUGUAGUCAAAACUUCGUUCUCUCCUGAGUGGAUCCUGAGUACGGCGGAACACGUGAAAUUCCGUCGGAAUCCGGGAGGACCAUCUCCCAAGGCUAAAUACUCCCUAGUGACCGAUAGUGAACCAGUACCGUGAGGGAAAGGUGAAAAGCACCCCGGAAGGGGAGUGAAAGAGAUCCUGAAACCGUGUGCCUACAAGUAGUCAGAGCCCGUUAACGGGUGAUGGCGUGCCUUUUGUAGAAUGAACCGGCGAGUUACGAUCCCGUGCAAGGUUAAGCAGAAGAUGCGGAGCCGCAGCGAAAGCGAGUCUGAAUAGGGCGAAUUGAGUACGUGGUCGUAGACCCGAAACCAGGUGAUCUACCCAUGUCCAGGGUGAAGUUCAGGUAACACUGAAUGGAGGCCCGAACCCACGCACGUUGAAAAGUGCGGGGAUGAGGUGUGGGUAGGGGUGAAAUGCCAAUCGAACCUGGAGAUAGCUGGUUCUCUCCGAAAUAGCUUUAGGGCUAGCCUCAAGGUAAGAGUCUCGGAGGUAGAGCACUGAUUGGACUAGGGGCCCCUACCGGGUUACCGAAUUCAGUCAAACUCCGAAUGCCGAUGACUUAUCCUUGGGAGUCAGACUGCGAGUGAUAAGAUCCGUAGUCGAAAGGGAAACAGCCCAGACCGCCAGCUAAGGUCCCAAAGUAUACGUUAAGUGGAAAAGGAUGUGGAGUUGCUUAGACAACCAGGAUGUUGGCUUAGAAGCAGCCACCAUUUAAAGAGUGCGUAAUAGCUCACUGGUCGAGUGACUCUGCGCCGAAAAUGUACCGGGGCUAAACGUAUCACCGAAGCUGCGGACUGUUCUUCGAACAGUGGUAGGAGAGCGUUCUAAGGGCUGUGAAGCAAGACCGGAAGGACUUGUGGAGCGCUUAGAAGUGAGAAUGCCGGUAUGAGUAGCGAAAGAGGGGUGAGAAUCCCCUCCACCGAAUGCCUAAGGUUUCCUGAGGAAGGCUCGUCCGCUCAGGGUUAGUCGGGACCUAAGCCGAGGCCGAAAGGCGUAGGCGAUGGAUAACAGGUUGAUAUUCCUGUACCACCUCCUCACCAUUUGAGCAAUGGGGGGACGCAGGAGGAUAGGGUAAGCGCGGUAUUGGAUAUCCGCGUCCAAGCAGUUAGGCUGGGAAAUAGGCAAAUCCGUUUCCCGUGAAGGCUGAGCUGUGAUGGCGAGCGAAUUAUAGUAGCGAAGUUCCUGAUUCCACACUGCCAAGAAAAGCCUCUAGCGAGGUGAGAGGUGCCCGUACCGCAAACCGACACAGGUAGGCGAGGAGAGAAUCCUAAGGUGAUCGAGAGAACUCUCGUUAAGGAACUCGGCAAAAUGACCCCGUAACUUCGGGAGAAGGGGUGCUCUGUUAGGGUGCAAGCCCGAGAGAGCCGCAGUGAAUAGGCCCAGGCGACUGUUUAGCAAAAACACAGGUCUCUGCGAAGCCGUAAGGCGAAGUAUAGGGGCUGACGCCUGCCCGGUGCUGGAAGGUUAAGAGGAGCGCUUAGCGUAAGCGAAGGUGCGAAUUGAAGCCCCAGUAAACGGCGGCCGUAACUAUAACGGUCCUAAGGUAGCGAAAUUCCUUGUCGGGUAAGUUCCGACCCGCACGAAAGGCGCAACGAUCUGGGCACUGUCUCAACGAGAGACUCGGUGAAAUUAUAGUACCUGUGAAGAUGCAGGUUACCCGCGACAGGACGGAAAGACCCCGUGGAGCUUUACUGCAGCCUGAUAUUGAAUGUUGGUACAGCUUGUACAGGAUAGGUAGGAGCCUUGGAAACCGGAGCGCCAGCUUCGGUGGAGGCAUCGGUGGGAUACUACCCUGGCUGUAUUGACCUUCUAACCCGCCGCCCUUAUCGGGCGGGGAGACAGUGUCAGGUGGGCAGUUUGACUGGGGCGGUCGCCUCCUAAAAGGUAACGGAGGCGCCCAAAGGUUCCCUCAGAAUGGUUGGAAAUCAUUCGCAGAGUGUAAAGGCACAAGGGAGCUUGACUGCGAGACCUACAAGUCGAGCAGGGACGAAAGUCGGGCUUAGUGAUCCGGUGGUUCCGCAUGGAAGGGCCAUCGCUCAACGGAUAAAAGCUACCCCGGGGAUAACAGGCUUAUCUCCCCCAAGAGUCCACAUCGACGGGGAGGUUUGGCACCUCGAUGUCGGCUCAUCGCAUCCUGGGGCUGUAGUCGGUCCCAAGGGUUGGGCUGUUCGCCCAUUAAAGCGGUACGCGAGCUGGGUUCAGAACGUCGUGAGACAGUUCGGUCCCUAUCCGUCGCGGGCGCAGGAAAUUUGAGAGGAGCUGUCCUUAGUACGAGAGGACCGGGAUGGACGCACCGCUGGUGUACCAGUUGUUCUGCCAAGGGCAUCGCUGGGUAGCUAUGUGCGGACGGGAUAAGUGCUGAAAGCAUCUAAGCAUGAAGCCCCCCUCAAGAUGAGAUUUCCCAUUCCGCAAGGAAGUAAGAUCCCUGAAAGAUGAUCAGGUUGAUAGGUCUGAGGUGGAAGUGUGGCGACACAUGGAGCUGACAGAUACUAAUCGAUCGAGGACUUAACCAAUUU
rnacentral:rRNA from 4 species